rnacentral:rRNA from 1 species
GACGAACGCUGGCGGCGUGCCUAAUACAUGCAAGUUGAGCGAUGAAGAUUGGUGCUUGCACCAAUUUGAAGAGCAGCGAACGGGUGAGUAACGCGUGGGGAAUCUGCCUUUGAGCGGGGGACAACAUUUGGAAACGAAUGCUAAUACCGCAUAACAACUUUAAACAUAAGUUUUAAGUUUGAAAGAUGCAAUUGCAUCACUCAAAGAUGAUUCCGCGUUGUAUUAGCUAGUUGGUGAGGUAAAGGCUCACCAAGGCGAUGAUACAUAGCCGACCUGAGAGGGUGAUCGGCCACAUUGGGACUGAGACACGGCCCAAACUCCUACGGGAGGCAGCAGUAGGGAAUCUUCGGCAAUGGACGAAAGUCUGACCGAGCAACGCCGCGGGAGUGAAGAAGGUUUUCGGAUCGUAAAACUCUGUUGGUAGAGAAGAACGUUGGUGAGAGUGGAAAGCUCAUCAAGUGACGGUAACUACCCAGAAAGGGACGGCUAACUACGUG